rnacentral:rRNA from 1 species
CCUACGGGUGGCAGCAGUGAGGAAUAUUGGUCAAUGGGCGAGAGCCUGAACCAGCCAAGUCGCGUGAGGGAGUACUGCCCUAUGGGUUGUAAACCUCUUUUGUCGGGGAGCAAAAGCCGGACGUGUCCGGCUUUGAGAGUACCCGGAGAAAAAGCAUCGGCUAACUCCGGGCCAGCAGCCGCGGUUAUACGGAGGAGGCGAGCGUUAUCCGGGUUUAUUGGGUUUAAAGGGGGCGCAGGCGGAUUUUUAAGUUAGCGGUAAAAUCGUGGGGCUCAACCCCAUCCAGCCGUUGAAACUGGGGAUCUAGAGUGGGCGAGAGGUAUGCGGAAUGCGUGGUGUAGCGGUGAAAUGCAUAGAUAUCACGCAGAACCCCGAUUGCGAAGGCAGCAUACCGGUGCACAACUGACGCUCAGGCACGAAAGCGUGGGUAUCGAACAGGAUUAGAUACCCCAGUAGUC